GAUGCUCUAAGUUGCAGUUGACAAAAAAUUAUUUGUGAUUUAGAAAGCAGAAAAAUAAUUCAACCACUUUAUCUUUUCUUCUAGGAAUCUUUGCGGAAGCCGAGUAGAAUUUAAAAUUUUCUUUUGUUUGUUCUUUUUUUCAGAUUUGUUACCACCGGAUGCAGCGUAGCUUUAACCACUCGGAUCGGUGGAAGUUCUGGCUGAGCACCGGACGCCCUCCAGGACCGAGAAUGUCAUCCGGAAAAUCUAUUGGCCUCAGGAGAACGAAGCUAUUCAUCGAACAGCAGGAAGUUUGUUGAUCAUCAACUACGGCGAAAAUGCGACGGGUAUAUUCCGGCCGGAUGCCUUUUUUGGUCGGACAAACAUUGCCUAGUUCCAGUUGUUCUGGAUCUUCAUCAAUAACGGGAGAUUUUCGCUGGUGCAUAGAAAUUUUCGGAAAACGACGUACAUGUAUAUCAGCCAGAAAACGACGGCCGCAUCC